rnacentral:rRNA from 1 species
GACGAACGCUGGCGGCGUGCUUAACACAUGCAAGUCGAGCGGUAAGGCCCUUUCGGGGGUACACGAGCGGCGAACGGGUGAGUAACACGUGGGUGACCUGCCCUCAGCUCUGGGAUAAGCCUGGGAAACCGGGUCUAAUACUGGAUAUGACUCCAUGACGCAUGUUGUGGGGUGGAAAGCCUUGUGCGGCUGAGGAUGGGCCCGCGGCCUAUCAGCUUGUUGGUGGGGUGANGGCCUACCAAGGCGACGACGGGUAGCCGGCCUGAGAGGGCGACCGGCCACACUGGGACUGAGACACGGCCCAGACUCCUACGGGAGGCAGCAGNGGGGAACCUUGCGCAAUGGGCGAAAGCCUGACGCAGCGACGCCGCGUGAGGGAUGACGGCCU